rnacentral:rRNA from 1 species
CCUACGGGUGGCAGCAGUGAGGAAUAUUGGUCAAUGGACGAGAGUCUGAACCAGCCAAGUAGCGUGAAGGAUGACUGCCCUAUGGGUUGUAAACUUCUUUUAUAUGGGAAUAAACUGUUCCACGUGUGGGAUUUUGUAUGUACCAUAUGAAUAAGGAUCGGCUAACUCCGUGCCAGCAGCCGCGGUAAUACGGUGGAUCCGAGCGUUAUCCGGAUUUAUUGGGUGUAAAGGGAGCGUAGGUGGAUUGUUAAGUCAGUUGUGAAAGUUUGCGGCUCAACCGUAAAAUUGCAGUUGAAACUGGCAGUCUUGAGUACAGUAGAGGUGGGCGGAAUUCGUGGUGUAGCGGUGAAAUGCUUAGAUAUCACGAAGAACUCCGAUUGCGAAGGCAGUUCACUGGACUGCAACUGACACUGAGGCUCGAAAGUGUGGGUAUCAAACAGGAUUAGAUACCCGGGUAGUC